rnacentral:rRNA from 1 species
CCCUGAUGCAGCGACGCCGCGUGANGGAAGAAGUAUUUCGGUAUGUAAANNUCUUUCAGCAGGGAAGAAAAUGACGGUACCUNNCUAANAAGCCCCGGCUAANUACGUGCCAGCAGCCGCGGUAAUACGUAUGGGGCAAGCGUUAUCCGGAUUUACUGGGUGUAAAGGGAGCGUAGACGGNUGUGCAAGUCUGAUGUGAAAUCCCGGGGCUCAACCCCGGNACUGCAUUGGAAACUGUUNAUCUNGAGUGUNGGAGAGGNAANNGGAAUUCCUAGUGUAGCGGUGAAAUGCGUAGAUAUUAGGAGGAACACCAGUGGCGAAGGCGGCUUACUGGACAGUAACUGACGUUGAGGCUCGAAAGCGUGGGGAGCAAACAGGAUUAGAUACCCUGGUAGUCCACNCCGUAAACGAUGAAUACUAGGUGUGGGGGGG